UACGUAGGAAGCGAGCGUUGUCCGGAUUUACUGGGCGUAAAGGGCGAGUAGGCGGUUUGCCAAGUCUCAUGUGAAAUCUCCUGGCUCAACUGGGAGGGGUCAUGGGAAACUGGCAGACUUGAGGUUAACAGAGGAAAGCGGAAUUCCCGGAGUAGCGGUGAAAUGCGUAGAUAUCUGGAGGAACACCGGUGGCGAAGGCGGCAUCCUGGACCAAUAUUGACGCUGAGGAGCGAAAGCUAGGGGAGCAAACAGGG
rnacentral:rRNA from 1 species